AGAGUUUGAUUCUGGCUCAGAGCGAACGCUGGCGGCGUGGAUAAGACAUGCAAGUCGAACGAAGCUUGUUCCUUGGCAACAAGGAACAAGUUCAGUGGCGAACGGGUGAGUAACACGUGGGAACUUACCCUGAAGUGGGGAAUAGCCCAUCGAAAGAUGGGGUAAUUCCGCAUGUGAUCGAAAGAUCAAAGUAGGGGACCUGCAAAGGCCUUACGCUUCAGGAGAGGCCCGCGGCCCAUCAGCUAGUUGGUGAGGUAAUGGCCCACCAAGGCUAAGACGGGUAGCUGGCCUGAGAGGGUGGUCAGCCACACUGGGACUGAGACACGGCCCAGACACCUACGGGUGGCAGCAGUCGAGAAUUUUUCACAAUGGGCGAAAGCCUGAUGGAGCGACGCCGCGUGGAGGAUGAAGGCCUUCGGGUUGUAAACUCCUGUCACCCUGGACCAAGGCUUUCAAGUUGAAUAAACUUGGAAGUUUGAUUGUACAGGGAGAGGAAGGGACGGCAAACUCUGUGCCAGCAGCCGCGGUAAUACAGAGGUCCCAAGCGUUGCUCGGAUUUACUGGGCGUAAAGGGUGUGUAGGAGGUUAGAUAAGUCGGAUGUGAAAUCCCUUUGCUUAACAAAGGAACUGCAUUCGAUACUGUCUAGCUAGAGGACCGGAGGGGGAAGCGGAACUCUCGGUGUAGCGGUGAAAUGCGUGGAUAUCGAGAGGAACACCGGUGGCGAAGGCGGCUUCCUGGACGGUACCUGACUCUGAUACACGAAAGCUAGGGGAGCGAACGGGAUUAGAUACCCCGGUAGUCCUAGCCGUAAACGGUGUGCGUUAGGCGUUGGCGGAAUCGACCCCGCCAGUGCCGUAGCUAACGCGUUAAACGCACCGCCUGAGGAGUACGGCCGCAAGGCUAAAACUCAAAGAAAUUGACGGGGGCCCGCACAAGCGGUGGAGCAUGUGGCUUAAUUCGAUGCAACGCGAAGAACCUUACCAGGCCUUGACAUGCCGUGUUCAGUUGCUGAAAGGCAAUGGCCCGCAAGGGCGAACGGCACAGGUGCUGCAUGGCUGUCGUCAGCUCGUGUCGUGAGAUGUUGGGUUAAGUCCCGCAACGAGCGCAACCCCUAUGUCCAGUUGCCGAAAGGCUCUCUGAACAGACUGCCUCGUAUAACGGGGAGGAAGGUGGGGACGACGUCAAGUCAGGAUGGCCCUUAUGGCCUGGGCUGCACACGUGUUACAAUGCCCGGUACAGAGGGAAGCAAGACCGCGAGGUGGAGCAAAUCCCAAAAACCGGGCCCAGUUCAGAUCGAAGGCUGCAACUCGCCUUCGUGAAGCCGGAAUCGCUAGUAAUGGCGCAUCAGCUACGGCGCCGUGAAUACGUUCCCGGGCCUUGUACACACCGCCCGUCACAUCCUGAAAGCUGGUUGUACCCGAAGCCAACCGUAAGGUUGUCGAAGGUAUGGCUAGUGAUUGGGAUGAAGUCGUAACAAGGUAGCCGUAGGGGAACCUGCGGCUGGAUCACCU
rnacentral:rRNA from 2 species